rnacentral:rRNA from 1 species
CGGACCUGUAAACAUAGCAGUCUAGCCUGCCAGUGACUCUGUUCAACGGCCGCGGUAUCCUAACCGUGCGAAGGUAGCGUAAUCACUUGUUCUUUAAAUGUGGACUAGUAUGAAUGGCAUCACGAAGGUUAUACUGUCUCCUUUUUCUAAUCAGUGAAACUAAUCUCCCCGUGAAGAAGCGAGGAUAAGAAUAUAAGACGAGAAGACCCUAUGGAGCUUUAAACAAAAUAGCACUCGCCACAUUAAUAAAGAAUUUCAGAAUCAUUAUUUAUCUUAAGCGACUUGACUAUAUGUUUUUGGUUGGGGUGACCGCGGAGCAUAACACAACCUCCAUGUUGAAAGAAAGUUUUCUAAACUAAGAACCACACCUCUAAGUAUCAAAAAAUUGACAUCUAUUGACCCAAUAAACUUGAACAACGAACCAAGUUACCCUAGGGAUAACAGCGCAAUCCACUUCAAGAGCUCCUAUCGACAAGUGGGUUUACGACCUCGAUGUUGGAUCAGGGUCUCCCAGUGGUGCAGCCGCUACUAAAGGUUCGUUUGUUCAACGAUUAAAACCCUACGUGAUCUGGUUUCAAAACCAGGA